rnacentral:rRNA from 1 species
UCAGUCGACUCCUACGGGGAGGCAGCAGUGGGGAAUAUUGCACAAUGGGGGAAACCCUGAUGCAGCCAUGCCGCGUGUGUGAAGAAGGCCUUCGGGUUGUAAAGCACUUUCAGUAGGGAGGAAGGUAGUGUAGUUAACACCUGCAUUAUUUGACGUUACCUACAGAAGAAGCACCGGCUAACUCCGUGCCAGCAGCCGCGGUAAUACGGAGGGGUGCGAGCGUUAAUCGGAAUUACUGGGCGUAAAGCGCAUGCAGGCGGCCUGUUAAGUCAGAUGUGAAAGACCCGGGGCUUAACCUCGGAAUUGCAUUUGAAACUGGCAGGCUAGAGUCUUGUAGAGGGGGGUAGGAAUUUCAGGUGUAGCGGUGAAAUGCGUAGAGAUCUGAAGGAAUACCAGUGGCGAAGGCGGCCCCCUGGACAAAGACUGACGCUCAGAUGCGAAAGCGUGGGGAGCAAACAGGAUUAGAUACCCUGGUAG